UCACAAAAUAUAUAUACUUCUGGAAAACAGGCAUUCAUAGCACCAGUACACAACACCGUGCCUACAACCAAGUUCAGUUUUAGCUUAUGUUUCUUCUCGCAACCCUCAAGUUUUUUCAUUACACUUUUCAAAUCCUGGGACUAUUUCACAGCCUACCUAUCAAAUCAAGUUGGCACUGGCAAAGUCCACUUCGCUAUUGAACUCUUUUUUGCAUGAAAAAGAAUACGAAUCCAAGAAAGAAGCAAAAUCGUAAAGCGGAGAUCAUAGAGAUCAGUUCCGCACUAUCAAUUGGUAAAGUGUUACUCUUCAUUUUUGCAUCUGCAUUAAUUUUAUUUUUCUGAUGAAAAAAACUGGUAACAACAAACACCAUAAGAACCAAUGCAUGCGUGCUUUUCUACUGCUCAAUACACAGUUAUGUCAAAAUUUAAUAUCAAAACAGAAGUUUGUACUUAUUUAUCUGGUUGCAGACAAUAAAUAUAUUAAUUAGUUAUGCAUUUUUUAAAAAUUAUUAAACAUUAU